rnacentral:rRNA from 1 species
UAGAUGCAUGGGCGAAGCCUGAUGCAGCGACGCCGCGUGAGGGAUGACGGCCUUCGGGUUGUAAACCUCUUUCAGUAGGGAAGAAGCGAAAGUGACGGUACCUGCAGAAGAAGCGCCGGCUAACUACGUGCCAGCAGCCGCGGUAAUACGUAGGGCGCAAGCGUUAUCCGGAAUUAUUGGGCGUAAAGAGCUCGUAGGCGGUUUGUCGCGUCUGCCGUGAAAGUCCGGGGCUCAACUCCGGAUCUGCGGUGGGUACGGGCAGACUUGAGUGCAGUAGGGGAGACUGGAAUUCCUGGUGUAGCGGUGAAAUGCGCAGAUAUCAGGAGGAACACCGAUGGCGAAGGCAGGUCUCUGGGCUGUAACUGACGCUGAGGAGCGAAAGCAUGGGGAGCGAACAGGAUUAGAUACCCUGGUAGUCCAUGCCGUAAACGUUGGGCACUAGGUGUGGGGGACAUUCCACGUUUUCCGCGCCGUAGCUAACGCAUUAAGUGCCCCGCCUGGGGAGUACGGCCGCAAGGCUAAAACUCAAAUGAAAUUGACGGA